GCGGAGGGCUGGAUGACCGCGGCUGCGGACUUGAUCCGGGGUCGAGGAAAGUCCGGACUCCCUGAAGUGACGGUGCCGGGUAACGCCCGGCGGGGGCAACCCCAGGGAAAGCGCCACAGAGAAGAGACCGCCCCGGCCAAUGGCCUUGGUCUUCAACCGGGGUAAGGGUGAAACGGUGGGGUAAGAGCCCACCGCGGGACUGGUAACAGGACCGGCAAGGCAAGCCCCACCGGGAGCAAUGCCGAAUAGGGGUCUCGCGCGGGGCCUGGUCCCGGAUCUCGGUCCGGGAUACCGCCGCAGGGUUACUUCGACCCGAGAGACCCGGGUUGGCAGCUAGAUCCCGUCGGUAACGGCGGGGCCAGAGGAAUGGUCAUCCAACCCCGGAUCACGGUCCGGGGGGGACAGAAUCCGGCUUACAGGCCCUCCGCGCAA
rnacentral:RNase_P_RNA from 1 species